GAUAAGCUGAUGAAUGAUGGAGAAGUCCAUCCUCAGAGAAGUUGGCUUGGUCGGUGAGCUAUCCUUUUAUGCACACUUAUGUAUAGAAUUAUUACUUGUUUCAGGAUCGACUUUGCGGAGGGAGACGAUUUAUUGGGGGCCUCGACUGGAUGGUUCUUCCUUUCUCAUAAUUCUUUGCUACUUUACCGUUUGUCUUAAAAUCUCAUUCAUACUUGUGUUGUCUAGCUCUGCUUUUGUGAUUACCUGUCUUAAACAGGGUCGUGAGUACACAAUAAUAUAAAGAGGUUAAUCAUUGUUCCAU
rnacentral:misc_RNA from 1 species